AAACGCGUCCCGGAUGGGGACGAGCUCCGGGCGCAGCCUAAAUUUAGCCGCGGUAUAUAAGCCGGCGGGCGGCGGCGGCCGUGGCCACUGCGGCCGCCAGGGCUCUGCGCAGCCUGGCCGGCCCCCUGCGCACGGCCAGGCCGCGCCCCCCUCCUGGGCCCGCCCCCGCCUGUCUCCCCGGCGACGCGUCAACACGCGCUCCACAACAGCACCGUGACACCCAGGGAUCCCCGGGGCGCCCCAUGGGCUCCCGCCUGCUCGAGGACCUGGAGCGGAGGCGGCAUCCGGGGACCCGGGACUCUGAGUGGAGCACUGGGUCCCCUGGCCUCCAGGGAUCCCUGAUGUAUGGGGAGAAUGGUCCCCAACGCCUCAGAGGGGUUCCCAGAAUCCCUGGUGAUGGGCGAGAUUGCCCCAUAGUUUCAAAGGGGUUUCUAGAAUCCUAGAUGAUGGGUGGGGUUCCCGGGAACCCUGAUGCAGGGGGGAUUGGGGUCCCCAGGAUUCAUAAUGGGUGGGGAAACUUUCAUUUUCUCUCAUUUCAUCUCAUGUCAUCAAAACUCUCGUUUUCCGGGGGCCCGUUAAGCUAAGCCUGACCCACUGUUAUGCCCAUCGCUAUGUAAAAAACCUUGUGCGAUGCCCUUAACAAAUGUUAAGUCCUUGAGACCAGGGCUCUCUUAAGGAAGCCCUCCAGGGAAACUGAGGCUCAAGGGGCUCUGGGAGAGGCUUGCCGUCCUUAACUGACUUGCUUAAGUGUAGAAGCUGAAGACAAGGGUGACAGUCUCUCCUCCAAGACAGACCCAGCGCUGGGCGGGAGCAGGGGGUGGCGCCGGGGGACAGGGAACAAGCUUGUCCGGUGGGCAUGUUGAAUAUACCACCUGGGUUGCUCGCGGCACAGCCUUGCCAGCAAAGGACUGUCACUACCAUUGUUACUGUGUGCUGGCCCCGUGUAGGCCGGGAGAGCACAGGACCAAGAGCCAGACAAAUCUGCCUGCUCUUGGGGGCUUCCCCUAGGGGGUAUAAAAUAAACAAGUAUAUUGGGGAGAUGAACCUUUUGGAAACAUAAAGCAGGGGGUGCAAGAUACAGCGCGGAGGGGACUAGGAGGCAAGUGAGUGAGCGGGGAGAGAGGGGAUGGUGAAAAGUUCAACUUCACCUCACCCAGUGCUAUUAUGAGUCAAGACCUGGAGAAAAGGGGAGCCACAUGAGUCCUAGAGGGAGAGCAUCUCAUGGUGUAACCCAGAGCCGGUUUCCAGCUUUGGUCUCGACUCCAGAGUCUGUGUUCUGGACCUGGAGGCAUCCAGGGUCUUCCUCUGUCCCGUGGCCAGAUGUUGAUGGGUUCAGGAAGCUCUUGACCGGGACACCUUCUCUGGGGCCAGGAAGGCUUUGCCACGGACAGCAGCUGGACUACCACAGCCCAGGACCACUGCAUGGAGGUGGCCUUGGCACCACACAGGCAUCAAGGGGCCCCGUUGGGGUCCACAAUGCUGGACCCUCCCAGCUGGAAGGCACCUCAGAGGCGCAUCACCUCACCAUGAAUCAUCCAACUAUGGGUUCAGCAAACGCACUGAUGAGCCCCAUUUUCAGGCGCCGGGGAUCCGGUGGUGCUGGAGGGGGCAGGGAUCCUCCCUACAGCUUCCCUGGGCUUUGGGAAACUUCAGCUGGAAUUCAGACGUGCCUCUUGCGGCUGCCACCGCAACAACGGAGAGUCAGCCUCAGCCACAGACUGCUGGCUGUGUGACCUUGGGCAAGUGGUUUUGCCUCUCUGGGCUUGCUUCUUCAUCUGUAAAACAGAUGAUAUGGUAGCUUACCCCACAGUGGUUCUGUACGUGCGUGUGUGCAUGUGUAUAUGUAAGUGCUGGUGACAUCCCGUGAGCCCUCUACAGCUUUUGGUUAAAUGAGCCACCUGUAUACUUUUCUCACUACUUUCACCUGAGCCUCUGUUUCCCCAUAGGAUAAUGAGGCAAAGAUGACAGUCCCCAGGCAUAUGAUUCUCUGGUCCUCCUCUCCGCCUUGGACAGCCCCUGCGGCUCCUUCCAGUGCAUUCUUCCUCCUUUCUUGGAUUCCUUGCAGGUCCCGGAAGGGACCAAGCCCGUGCAUCCCGCCAGGCCUUUGUACUUGCUGUGUCCUCUACCAAUCUCUGGAUGACGUCUGAUGUGGAGCCCCUUUUCAUUCGCUCAUUUGCCAGCUGUAUAUCUUUGUCAUUGAGAGGCCCAGCUGUGGACCCGGUGUUGAAACAAACAUGACGCGGGGAUGCCGGCCACCCACCGAGGACCUCCCAGGGCAGUGUGAGACACUUCGGCACGGCACCUGGUGAACAGAGCCAGCCCCCGGAACCACCAACGAUUGGGAAGAACGUGGACUUCAGUUGCCCCUUUACCUGUGUGACCUUGGACAUGUCAUUGGACCUCUCCGUGCCCUCAGUGUCAUCGGGAGACAGGAGAUGGCACAUGUCAAGAACAUCGGCUGCCUGAUUAUGAACAUGAGUGAGCGAGCCAGAUGGGGGGAUCCCAGGCUGAGGGAGGGACCUGGUACUUGGGAGGAAGGCUCAGAGCAUGGCCGCUCUCAUUCUGCUAUCUAGGCCACACAUUUCGAUGGGAGUGGGUCCCAGUGGCAUCUCGGGUGACAAUGCCUUGGGAGAAAAAGUCAGGUCCCCAGGGCGGCCUCUUCCCAACUCGGGGACAUACCCUCGGCUGAACUUCACAGCCUCUGAGCAGCCUGUCCCUUCACUUGCUAAGUUGGGGAGAAUGAGGUGUGUCUACAGAUCAGGGGCGCCUGGGUGGCUCAGUGGGUUAAAGCCUCUGCCUUCGGCUCGGGUCAUGAUUCCAGGGUCCUGGUUUCGAGCCCCACGUCGGGCUCUCUGCUUGGCGGGGAGCCUGCUUCCCCCUUUCCCUCUCUGCCUGCCUCUCUGCCUACUUGUGCUCUCUGUCAAAUAGAUAAAUAAAAUCUUAAAAAAAAAAAAAGAUACGUGAUCAGUGAGUGGCCCCGUAAUGCUGAAAGACAAGCAAAUGAGCACCCUUCUCGAACUCAGGUGUCACUGGUAAGUUCCAAAAGGGUAGGGUCUGGCUCUGUGUCUGUGCCUUGCUGUCUGCUUCAUAGUGGGGAACUUUAUGCCUCUUGAUGGUGUUGCCUUCACUCUCAUGUUGUUCCCAA